rnacentral:rRNA from 2 species
UACAGAGGUCCCGAGCGUUGUUCGGAUUCAUUGGGCGUAAAGGGUGCGUAGGCGGUUUGGUAAGCCCUCUGUGAAAUCUCCAGGCUUAACCUGGAAAAGUCGGAGGGGACUGCUGGGCUAGAGGACGGGAGAGGAGCGCGGAAUUCCCGGUGUAGCGGUGAAAUGCGUAGAGAUCGGGAGGAAGGCCGGUGGCGAAGGCGGCGCUCUGGAACGUUUCUGACGCUGAGGUGCGAAAGCUAGGGUAGCGAACGGG